rnacentral:rRNA from 1 species
UACGUAGGGUGCAGGCGUUAAUCGGAAUUACUGGGCGUAAAGCGUGCGCAGGCGGUUUCUUAAGUCAGAUGCGAAAGCCCCGGGCUUAACCUGGGAACUGCGUUUGAAACUGGGAGACUUGAGUGUGGCAGAGGGGGGUGGAAUUCCACGUGUAGCAGUGAAAUGCGUAGAUAUGUGGAGGAACACCGAUGGCGAAGGCAGCCCCCUGGGUUAACACUGACGCUCAUGCACGAAAGCGUGGGGAGCAAACAGG